rnacentral:rRNA from 1 species
GAAGGCACACCCGGUGAACUGAAACAUCUAAGUAGCCGGAGGAAGAGUAAUCAAACGAGAUUCCCUCAGUAGCGGCGAGCGAACAGGGAAGAGCCCAAACCGGACGUCUUCGGACGACCGGGGUUGAGGACCAGCAUCAAGGGAAGGCAAGAUAGCCGAACAGUCUGGGAAGGCUGAGCACAGACGGUGAAACUCCGGUAGGCGAAAUCUUACCCAACGGGCUGGUAUCCAGAGUACCACGAGACACGUGAAACCUUGUGGGAAGCAGGGUGGACCACCAUCCAAGGCAAAAUACUACGGAACGACCGAUAGCGCAUAGUACCGUGAGGGAAAGGUGAAAAGAACCGCGGGAGCGGAGUGAAAUAGAACCUGAAACCGUAUGUCUACAAGCAGUCGAAGCACUUUAUAUGUGCGACGGCGUGCCUAUUGAAGAAUGAACCGGCGAGUUAAUUUCAGAGGCGAGGUUAAGCGGGAGACGCGGAGCCGAAGCGAGAGCGAGUCUGAAUAGGGCGCAAGUCUCUGGGAUUAGACCCGAAACCACAGUGAUCUAUGCAUGGCCAGGUUGAAGCUCAGGUAAAAAUGAGUGGAGGACCGAACCCGUGAGUGUUGAAAAACUUUGGGAUGAGCUGUGCAUAGGGGUGAAAUGCCAAUCGAACGUGGAGAUAGCUGGUUCUCCCCGAAAUAGCUUUAGGGCUAGCCUCAGGUAACACAUGGAGACGGUAGAGCACUGAUCGGGUAAGGGAGCGUAAAGCUUACCGAGCCUAGUCAAACUGCGAAUGGCUUCAUGAGAAGAGCCUGGGAGUCAGAAUGCGAGUGAUAAGACCCGUAUUCAAAAGGGAAACAGCCCAGAUCGCCGACUAAGGUCCCGAAUGCUGUACUAAGUGGAAAAGGAUGUAGGACUUCCAAAACAACCAGGAUGUUGGCUCAGAAGCAGCCACCAUUCAAAGAGUGCGUAAUAGCUCACUGGUCGAGAGGCCCUGCGCCGAAAAUAUCCGGGGCUCAAGUACAGAACCGAAGUCGCGGGAUGCGCAAGCAUCGGUAGGGGAGCGUUCCAAGCAGGUUGAAGGCAGACCGGAAGGACGGCUGGACAGCUUGGAAGUGAGAAUGCUGGUAUGAGUAGCGAAACGAUCCGUGAGAAUCGGAUCCACCGAAAGCCUAAGGGAUCCUGAGCAACGCUCGUCGUCUCAGGGUAAGUCGGGACCUAAGCCGAGGCAUAAAGCAUAGGCGAUGGACAACAGGCGAAAAUUCCUGUACUGCAUGAUGUUGUUUGAGGAUGGAGUGACACAGCAAGGAGCUUGAGCGCGCGAUUGGAAAUGCGCGUCGAAGGCGGUAGGCUGGUAUAGAGGCAAAUCCCUGUACUAAGGCCGAGAACUGAUAGAUAGGAGCGUACUUCGGUACAAUCCAAAUUCAAGCGUACUACACUGUCGAGAAAAGCUUCUAACGAGACAUCAUGUACCCGUACCAUAAACCGACACAGGUAGGCGGGGAGAGAAUCCUAAGGUGCGCGGGAAAACCCUCGUUAAGGAACUCGGCAAAAUGCAUCCGUAACUUCGGGAGAAGGAUGGCCGGAGCUGGUGAAGACCCUUGCGGUUGGAGCUGGAGCCGGCGGCAGAAGAGAAGCCCAAGCGACUGUUUACCACAAACACAGGUGCCUGCUAAAGAGAAAUCUGACGUAUAGGUGCUGACACCUGCCCGGUGCUGGAAGGUUAAGAGGAGAGGUCAUUCGCAAGAAGAAGCUUUGAAUUGAAGCCCCAGUAAACGGCGGCCGUAACUAUAACGGUCCUAAGGUAGCGAAAUUCCUUGUCGGGUAAGUUCCGACCCGCACGAAAGGUGUAACGACUUGGGCACUGUCUCAACGAGGGACCCGGUGAAAUUGAAAUACCUGUGAAGAUGCAGGUUACCCGCGACUGGACAGAAAGACCCCAUGGAGCUUUACUGCAGCCUGACAUUGAUUUUUGGCAUGUAACGUACAGGAUAGUUGGGAGACGGAGAAGAUAGGCCCCCAGGCUUAUCGGAGUCGCUGUUGGGAUACCAACCUUUAUGUGCUAGGGAUCUAACUCGAGAAGUAACGAAGCUGAGGACAGUAUCAGGUGGGCAGUUUGACUGGGGCGGUCGCCUCCGAAAGAGUAACGGAGGCGUCCAAAGGUUCCCUCAGCGCGGACAGAAAUCGCGCGAAGAGUAUAAAGGCAGAAGGGAGCUUGACUGCGAGACAUACAGGUCGAGCAGGUACGAAAGUAGGGCUUAGUGAUCCGGUGG